CUAAAUGUCGCUGCCACAAAAAGUGCUAAUGUGGAGAGGAUGACCAUCAUGGGUGUCGGUGGGAAGACCGUGCCAGCGUCGGUUUCGGUUCGGUUGGAUCCCAUGGCUGGGCUUGGAUCCGGUACCAGGUACCUCUCCUGCGUCCUAAGCAAGAUAGAUUUGGUAGUAGCAGCCACUUCGCCGUCGGGCAGCCGGUUGGCGAAGGUGACGGUGCAGUUGUAUUCAGUGUCCGGAAGCAGACCCUUGAAUGUCUGUGUGGACGACUUCCCUCCGUGGUCAUCGCAGGUGAAGUUUCGCUCGUUGAGCGGACCAGAAAGCGUACCGUAGCACAUAUCCAGGGGCCCAUUCUUGUGUUCUGGCGCAACGGCUACAACUUCGAGAGACGUAGGACUAGUGGCGGUACCCCAGAGUUCAAAAUCGCCUGGCGCUAUGAAUAAACUUACCUUCGAAAUGGCAGCAAACAGUAGAAAUACAGUCACGACGCCCCGAACAGUCCAUUGCCUCUCAGAAGUUUCUCGCCUAAACGCUGCCAUGGUGAAGACAGAUUACCGAAUGCAGAGAAGCACAACUGCAGCAGUUCUCGACUCGACGACCUACUUGAGUGUGCUAGGAUCUUUGAAGCGAGCGACCUUAUCCGACGAAUAGAGUGCAAAGUGCGCGCGUUCGCUGAGGCCGAUUUUAUAUUACUGUUGACUGUCUCCCCUAUGAGUGUGACGAGAGUGUUGCUCAUGCCUUGCGGAGACGCA